UAUGGCUACUGGGUGUAAAAGAUAAAUGUUAUUCUAUCUGUUCUUAAUGAGUUUUAGAUAAUUUUAGUUGUAUUUCUUUGUAAUUUUGUGUUGUACAAAGAUUAAUUUAACAUUUUCUCUGGAAGUAUUAAUUUAGAAAGAUAAUAUGCUUCAUUGGUGUUGUGUUUUGAAGUGUGAAAUGCAAAGUAAUUGUGAUAAAGUUCACUUUUAAACUGAACUAAAUAAGGUAUCUGAGAGACAACAAUGGUUAAAUGCAAUACAAUGUACAGGUUUUACUAGCGAAAUGAAAAUUUUCCUGUCCUGUCUGCUGUAAUCAUUUUAUAUCUGGAAAACCAGCCGACUUAAUCGAUAAUAACAAUCUCCAGAUUGGGUUCCUUCAAUAAAUAUGGGCUAUUAACACAAUGAAAUAAGUUCCAGAAAAUCUAAAAUGGAGUGGUAUCAAAGGAGAAUUAAAGGAAAAAAUAUUCAUAUUGAAAUUAUUUAUAAGGCACUGGACUGUCUUAAAUUCUACAAUAAUACUAGAAUCAGCUGAGAGAAGUGGUCUACAAAAAAACCAGGAAGGAAACGGAAUAUGUGGCUACGAAAGGCAAAAGAAAGGUUUACAAAGCAAAUGUGACACAUUUUUUUGAAAUAUUUAGGAAUAUCAGUAAAUUGCAUUAAAAAAAUGUAUGAAAAGAUUUUGUUCAAUAAAAAUGUUUAUAUUUAUCAAGGAUGUAUUAUUUGGUAUGGCCACAUAUCGUCAGUGAUGUAAUAAUACAUCCUAUCUGUUUUUUCAUGAGUUUUGUAAGAGAGACUAAAAACUUGUCUUGGGGUCACCUCCUGUUUUCAUAUGAUAUUUUUUGACUUGUUUUGUAGUAAAUUAAACUAUCUAUGAACUACAAAACAAGUCAAAACUUACAUAUGAACACAGGAGGUGACCUUAAAACAUGUUUUUCCAUCUCUCAUACAAAACUCAUGAAAAAACAGAUAGGAGGUAUUGUCACAUCAGCAAGGAUGUACAGUGAUGAGUGCCCUAAUAACCGGCAAAAUAUGGGCAACAUAUUUAGUUGUGAGAUAAAAAGAAAUGAAACUAGUCGAGCUGGGAAAUUUAGCGAAAUUAACCUUUAAAUUUACGUUAUAUUGAUCCCACCUUUACACAUAUCGGAGGAGUAUGUCAACUAAAACUGUCACUGUGACAGUGGUAGUUUCCAAACUCGUCUGAUACAUCUGAAGGUGGUACAAAAUCAAUACAAUCUAAAUGUAUAAG